rnacentral:rRNA from 1 species
CUAACCCUAACCCUAACCCUAACCCUAACCCUAACCCUAACCCUAACCCUAACCCUAACCCUAACCCUAACCCUAGCCGCAGUAAUUCUAGCUCUAAUAGCGUAUAUUAAAGUUAUUACAGUUAAAAAGCUCGUAGUUAAAACUUAGGUCUAGCUAGUAGGUCCGCCUUACUACGUGUACUCGUCUAGCUAGACCUUCCUUUUAGUAAACCUUAUACCCUUUACUAGGCGUACUAGGGAACUAAGACUUUUACUUUAAAAAAAUUAGAGUAUUUAAAGUAGGCCUUUACUUAAAUACGUUAGUAUAGAAUAAUAAAAUAGGGCGUAUAUUUUUAUUUUAUUAGUUUCUAGAGACGCCGUAAUAAUUAAUAGGAAUAGUUAGGGGUAUUAGUAUUUAGUUAUUAGAGGUAAAAUUCUUAGAUUUACUAAAGACUAACUACUACGAAAGUAUUUACUAAGGAUGUUUUUAUUAAUUAGUAAACAAAAGUUAGGGGAUUAAAGAUAAUUAGAUACUAUCGUAGUCUUAACUAUAAACUAUACUAACUAGGGAUUAGGUAAUAUUCUUUUUCUAACUUACUUAGCACCUUACAAGAAAUUAAAGUUUUUAGGUUCUAGGGGGAUUAUAGUCAUAAGGCUAAAACUUAAAGAAAUUAAUAGAAGGUUACUACUAGGCGUAGAGCCUAUAGCUUAAUUUAACUUAAUAUAGGGAAACUUACUAGGUCUAGAUAAAAUAAGGAUUAAUAGAUUAAGAGCUCUUUCUUAAUUUUUUAGGUAGUAGUGUAUAGCUAUUCUUAGUUCGUAGGGUAACUUAUCUACUUAAUUAUAAUAACAAGUAAGACCUUACUCUACUAAAUAGCUAAGCUAGCUUUAGCUAGUCACUAGCUUCUUAGAAAGACUAUUAACUUAAGUUAAUAGAAGUUUAAGGUAAUAAUAGGUCUAUAAUACCCUUAGAUAUUCUAGGCCGCACGCGCGCUAUACUAAUAGAGCUAAUAAGUUCUUUUCUUUAUUUAAAAGAAUUAGGUAAUCUUAUUAAACUCUAUCGUGCUAGGGAUAAAGUAUUAUAAUUAUUACUUUUUAAUAAGGAAUGCCUAGUAAGCGCGUAUUAUUAGCAUACGUUAAUUACGUCCCUAACCUUUAUAUAUACUACCUGUUACUACUACUAAUUAAAUAGCUUAGUAAGGCCUUCAGACUAGCUUAAGGAGGUUAGUAACAACUACUUUAAGCUAGAAAGUUAGUUAAACUUAGUUAUUUAGAGGAAGUAAAAGUCGUAAUAAGGUCUCUAUAGGUAAACCUAUAGAGG